rnacentral:rRNA from 1 species
GACGAACGCUGGCGGCGUGCUUAACACAUGCAAGUCGAACGGAAAGGCCCUGCUUUUGUGGGUUGCUCGAGUGGCGAACGGGUGAGUAACACGUGAGUAACCUGCCCUUGACUUUGGGAUAACUUCAGGAAACUGGGGCUAAUACCGGAUAGGAGCUCCUGCUGCAUGGUGGGGGUUGGAAAGUUUCGGCGGUUGGGGAUGGUCUCGCGGCUUAUCAGCUUGUUGGUGGGGUAGUGGCUUACCAAGGCUUUGACGGGUAGCCGGCCUGAGAGGGUGACCGGCAACAGUGAGACUGAGAUACGGCCAAGACUCAUACGGGAGGGAGAAGUGGGGAAGAUUGCAAAAGGGGUGGGGGCGUGAUGCAGAAGCGCCGUGGGCGGGAGGACGGACUUCGGGUUGUAAUCCGAAUUCGCUCAUGACGAAGCUUUGUGUGACGGUAGUGGGUAAAGAAGCAACGGCUAACUACGUG